rnacentral:rRNA from 1 species
UGGUGGAGUGAUUUGUCUGGUUAAUUCCGAUAACGAACGAGACCUUGGCCGCCUAGUAGGGCGCGGAUCAGCGGAUGCGCGGCCUUCUUAGAGGGACAGUCUGCUUGCAGCAGAAGGAGGAGCGAGGCAAUAACA